rnacentral:sRNA from 1 species
GGAUUCCCCUAGUAACUGCGAGUGAAGAGGGAAAAGCUCAAAUUUAAAAUCUGGCCGCAAGGUCCGAGUUGUAAUUUAGAGAAGUGCUACCCGCGCUGGACCGUGUACAAGUCUCCUGGGAUGGAGCGUCAUAGAGGGUGAGAAUCCCGUCUUUGACACGGACUGCCAGGGCAUUGUGGUGCGCUCUCGAAGAGUCGCGUUGUUUGGGAAUGCAGCGCAAAAUGGGUGGUAAAUUCCAUCUAAAGCUAAAUAUUGGCGAGAGACCGAUAGCGAACAAGUACCGUGAGGGAAAGAUGAAAAGGACUUUGGAAAGAGAGUUAAACAGUACGUGAAAUUGCUGAAAGGGAAACGCUUGAAGUCAGUCGCGUUGGCCGGGGAUCAGCCUUGCUUUUGUGAGGUGUACUUCCUGGUCGACGGGUCAGCAUCAGUUUUGACCGCUGGAAAAAGGCAGGGGGAAUGUGGCAGCUCUGGCUGUGUUAUAGCCUCUUGUCGUAUACGGCGGUUGGGACUGAGGACCGCAGCUUCGGCUUAGGAUGCUGGCAUAAUGGCUUUAAGCGACCCG